rnacentral:lncRNA from 1 species
UGAGAAAUGAGCAUGUUUUUAAUGCAAGAACUUCUUGGUUUGGUGUAUAAAAGAACUAAUUCAAAUACAAUUAGAAAAGUUACAAUGUUUGAUUUUAGUUUUCAGUCAUGUUUUGCAUUUUUGAUUUAAUUAGGUUCUUCCAUUCAGUCAACCCUUGGUGCCAAUGGAGCAAUACUAGACAGCCAGCCUAUAGUGAAGAAAAGGCGGGGAAGGAGGAGGAAUGUAGAAGGUGCUGACAUCCUCUUUCUGAACAGAAAUAAGCCACCUAAUCAUAUUUCCACAGGGAUGAAUCCAGCACUGUCCUAUCCUCAGCCUCAAAGAAUUCCUGAUACAGAAAGUCCUGUUCCAGUUAUUAA